GUUCUGAAAUAUUUUGAUUUCACCUCUUUGCAGAUGGAGCUAGGCUCGAGACUUCUGGCUGCUAAAGGACUUUCACUUGUUUAUGUUUGUUUUGAUCGGUAAACAUAUGAUUGUAUUUGGACACAUAUGAUUAGGUUUGGGUGUAAUUUUUGGCUAUAAGUCUGUAUUGGAUGUUCACUGGGUUGUAUUGGAUGUUAACUGGGCUAUAUUUGUAUGGGCUGCUAUUUGGUAAAUGCUUCGGCCUAUAUGGUCUUGGCCCAUUUGUUAUCUGUUUUUAAUGCAAAUGGAUAUAAUACAAUUGGGCUGAAAAUAGUAUGUAUUGCUAUGUUAUAGAUGGGCC
rnacentral:lncRNA from 1 species